rnacentral:rRNA from 1 species
UACAGAGGUCUCAAGCGUUGUUCGGAUUCAUUGGGCGUAAAGAGCGUGUAGGCGGCUUGUUAAGUCUUGCGUGAAAUCUCGGGGCUCAACCCCGAGCGGUCGUGAGAAACUGGCAGGCUAGAGUGCGGGAGAGGAGAGUGGAAUUCCUGGUGUAGCGGUGAAAUGCGCAGAUAUCAGGAAGAACACCCGUGGCGAAGGCGGCUCUCUGGAACGCAACUGACGCUGAGACGCGAAAAGCGUGGGGAGCGAACAGG